CUUGACAAACCAUAAGAGGUCCAGCCUGCCCAGUGACUCUGUUCAACGGCCGCGGUAUCCUAACCGUGCGAAGGUAGCGUAAUCACUUGUUCUUUAAAUGAGGACUAGUAUGAAUGGCACCACGAGGGUUACACUGUCUCCUUCCUCUAAUCAGUGAAACUAAUCUCCCCGUGAAGAAGCGGGGAUGAACCUAUAAGACGAGAAGACCCUAUGGAGCUUUAAACACAGUAACAAUUGCCCUGACACUACCUCAAACCCCCGGGCACAAUCAUUUACUCAGGCACCUUGAUUACAAGUUUUAGGUUGGGGUGACCGCGGAGCAAAAAAUAACCUCCACAGUGAAAGAGGACUUUUCCCCUAAACCCAGGGCCACAGCCCCAAGAAUCAAAAAAUUGACACCCGUUGACCCAUUUUUAUGACCAACGAAC
rnacentral:rRNA from 1 species